AUUGUACUCGCACCGUCCAAAAUUACUUUACAGAGAAAUUGAUGUAUCUAAAUGUAUUUUAGUUUUAGAUACAUUCAUUUUUAUCCAUUUUCGCGUUAAGCAAUUCUCGACGAAGGGAGUAGAUA
rnacentral:pre_miRNA from 1 species